UACCCAGGCUAGCUUCGAACCAGGAUCUUCAGAUCUCAGCCUCCUGAGUAUCUAAUGCAGGCAUGCACCACCAGUACGGGGCAAAGGGCCUUUGUUGGGAAGGGACUUAGGGGAGGUGAUGGGGAACGCCGAUGAAUUUCUCUCAUUUCUCCCAUUCUCUAAUUGAGGGUAAGAGAAACAGGAACUUCCCCCUCUGGUGGAGCUCAAGCCUCUACUAUGGCUUUGUGCAAAUUAGAAAUAAGGUGCUGUUGUCUUCCAGGUGAGUGAAACCCACAUCUUGGCCAUUUUGGGGUGGAUUUCUUCCUCUCUCACCCUCUCAGGAGAGGAUCCUUGAGCAAGGGGCAUCCUGCACAACUAUACAGGGCAGACCCUCUUCCAUUCCCCUCUUAUAUUCCAGGCCAGCACUGCUAGUGGCACCUGGAGCCCAAGGCAAACAGACAGACUCACUGGACGAUGUCAUUAAUAGGGAUGUUGAGCAGACGGUCAUCUAAGGUCUUCACCUCCACGGUGCAGCAGGUGACACCCCUCACCUGAGCUUCACUCAGGCACUGAAGCAGCUGAGGUCCCCUGUGGAGGGGUCAGAGAAGCCCCUCGACCUGGUGAACGGGGGAGACCGGCCCACGGUGACUGGCGGGUUCAAGGCUGAGGUGCUGCUGGCCCAGCUCAGGGAAGGCUGAGCAAGGUGGGAAACACUGAAGCUGCUCUAAGAAGGUAUUGUGAUCUUGAAAAAG